GCUGGCGGCAUGCCUAAUACAUGCAAGUCGAACGCUGAAGCACUCUGCUUGCAGAGUGCGGAUGAGUGGCGAACGGGUGAGUAACACGUGGGAAAUCUGCCUAGGAGUGGGGGAUAACAUUCGGAAAACGGAUGCUAAUACCGCAUAUCUUUUGAACCGCAUGGUUCUUAAACGAAAGACGGCUUCGGCUGUCGCUCUUAGAUGAGCUCGCGUCCAAUUAGCUAGUUGGUGAGGUAACGGCCCACCAAGGCGACGAUUGGUAGCCGGACUGAGAGGAUGAACGGCCACAUUGGGACUGAGACACGGGCCCAGACUCCUACGGGAGGCAGCAGUGGGGAAUCUUCCGCAAUGGACGAAAGUCUGACGGAGCAACGCCGCGUGAACGAUGACGGCCUUCGGGUUGUAAAGUUCUGUUAUACGGGACGAAUGGUACGACGGCCAAUACCCGUCGUAAGUGACGGUACCGUAAGAGAAAGCCACGGCUAACUACGUG
rnacentral:rRNA from 1 species